rnacentral:tRNA from 2 species
CAGAUAUUAGUUUAUAAAAAUAUUAAUUUUGGAGAUUAAUGAUAGGAAAAAUUCUUAUAUCUGA